rfam:Schistosoma mattheei strain Denwood, Zambia genome assembly, scaffold: SMTD_contig0000371
AUCUAGCUGACGAGUCCCAAAUCAGGAGAAACACGCGUCCUGGAU